GAGAAAGUGAUAGACAGAUGGGGGAAUGAUAGAGGUUUGCAAUCUGUCGUUCUCUGAGUCCAGAGAGCAGUGUCAUGACAACUAGGAUUUGGGUUUUGCUUUUUAAGUAAGAUGAUAAGUCAAGUGUUGUGUGCAGUCUGGAGAUCAGGUCGUGGUAGUGGAUUAUAUUCUUCAAUUUAUGGCAAUACCUGGGAGUUUGAGCUCUGGGAUCAUGCAAACUUGCAUAUUUUGUAGAAGCAAUACAUAUAUUUCUGAUAUGGCUAAUACAUCUCCUCCCAUCCGAGAAGAAAUAAGAAGAGCAGAAACAGGAUGGAUUGAAAGAGAGUGGGGGGAAAAUGAAGCCUAAAAUAUUCGGGAGAGACUCUCUCUCUCUAUUCACUCUCUUUCUCUCAUUCAGAAUAAGUGAACUGUCAGCAAAUUCUGGGGCAAAAAUUAAUUAUUUCAGCAUGAUAAACCUUUUCAUCUGCUUGACUCCUUCUACAGGAAAGCCAAUUAAUAAUGUCAAACAUGCUAUCUGUCAUGGGACGGGCCGUUGGAUAAUGAGUGUGUUUACUAUGUGGGCUGAACGAAGUGAGUGCAAUGGCAAAAACUUUAUCCCGAUCACGACACACCUGUCAGACCAACACCUCAUCACUGGCACAUUGAGGGCAAACCUCAUUUUAUACGCCACUCUUUUUUUCCCCUGGAAUUAACUGCAGUCCAGGGAGGCUCUGCAGGACUUCAGAGCCAAUGGAUGAUUAACUUAAUUAUGGAGGCUGACUGGAGAAACACUUGUGUAAUGAUCCGCUGAAAGACAUGACUGGGUCAGGACUGACUUGAGCUGUGUUGCAAAUCAUGUACUAUGCUGUGUACUUGCACUAUAUACAGGGUAUACUUGUGCAGUAUCUAGUGCAGGGAUUCCCAACUUUUUUGUCAUCUGAACCUCUUUGACCUAAAAUAUUUUCUUGAAGCGAGGAUUAGGAUUUUAAGUUAAUAUUAUGUUAAUUAUAUUAAUAAUACAAGCAAUUCACGUUUAUGGUUUUCUGAUGUCGGUUAACGAUCACAUGACAUGCAGUUUAAACAAAUUAAAUUCUUCCUCUUUUAAAAUAAAUGUUUUGAUUUGGUAGAUUUUAUUUUAAAAUGCAUGCAUUGUUUUAAUUUGACGUUUUUAGGGAUUAAUUAUUAGCUUUUCAACUCAAAAA
ensembl:lncRNA